UGUGGAUUAUGUCCCUGUCUUUAUAAAUAAUAAGUGUGUAGGAAUGAUGUCCUAUUGUAAAAUGAGAUGACUGGACCUGAACAGUCCAGAUACUACUGCAAAUUACAUCCUGGGUUGAAAUAGAUAGUUAUGUGCUUAUAUAUGGAGAGAAAAAAAGAGAACAGAAAAUGUCAUGUUUAAACUAUACAAGGAUUUAUAUACAUUUCAAAAUGACUUUAAUGAUUUGUUUUUGUUUUUUGGCAUGAUGUAAAAAUUCAUGUCUCGCUGUCACGGUCCUGUUAAAAUGAGUUCUGUGUCUUGUUUGUGAAAUGAGUUGUAAAUGUAAUAAAUACUAUAUGGAAAGAGAAGCCUGUUGAAAGCAACUAGUUAUUCAUUACCGUGUACUAGAAACGACAACCUGGGCAGUAGGUCAUCUUUAAUCAACUAGUAUUCACUACCGUGUACUAGAAAUGACAACCUGGGCAGUAGGUCAUCUUUAAUCAACUAGUAUUCACUACCGUGUACUAGAAACGACAACCUGGGCAGUAGGUCAUCUUUAAUCAACUGGUAUUCACUACCGUGUACUAGAAAUGACAACCUGGGCAGUAGGUCAUCUUUAAUCAACUAGUAUUCACUACCGUGUACUAGAAACGACAACCUGGGCAGUAGGUCAUCUUUAAUCAACUGGUAUUCACUACCGUGUACUAGAAAUGACAACCUGGGCAGUAGGUCAUCUUUAAUCAACUGGUUAUUCACUACCGUGUACUAGAAAUGACAACCUG
ensembl:lncRNA